CUGUCCCUACGGGAGGCAGCAGUAGGGAAUUUUCGUCAAUGGGCGCAAGCCUGAACGAGCGAUGCCGCGUGAGUGAAGAAGGCCUUCGGGUCGUAAAGCUCUGUUGCGGGGGAAAAAAGUCAGCAUCAGGAAAUGGGUGCUGACUGAUGGUGCCCCGCCAGAAAGUCACGGCUAACUACGUGCCAGCAGCCGCGGUAAUACGUAGGUGGCGAGCGUUAUCCGGAAUGAUUGGGCGUAACGGGUGCGCAGGCGGUCCUGCCCGUCUGGCGUGAAACGC
rnacentral:rRNA from 1 species